rnacentral:rRNA from 1 species
AUUGAACGCUGGCGGCAUGCUUUACACAUGCAAGUCGAACGGUAACAGGCCUUCGGGUGCUGACGAGUGGCGAACGGGUGAGUAAUGCAUCGGAACGUGCCCAAUCGUGGGGGAUAACGUAGCGAAAGUUACGCUAAUACCGCAUAAGCCCUGAGGGGGAAAUGGGGGACCGCAAGGCCUCACGCGAAUGGAGCGGCCGAUGUCAGAUUAGCUAGUUGUGGGGUAAAGGCCCACCAAGGCGACGAUCAGUAGCGGGUCUGAGAGGAUGAUCCGCCACACUGGGACUGAGACACGGCCCAGACUCCUACGGGAGGCAGCAGUGGGGAAUUUUGGACAAUGGGGGCAACCCUGAUCCAGCCAUGCCGCGUGCGGGAAGAAGGCCUUCGGGUUGUAAACCGCUUUCGGACGGAAAGAAAUCGCAUGGGUUAAUACCCUGUGUGGAUGACGGUACCGUAAGAAGAAGCACCGGCUAACUACGUG